UAAUUUUGGCCAUUUUAACUGUGUAAGAGGAAAUCUCAAUGUGGUCUUAAUUUGAAUCCCCCUGAGGGCUAAUGAUGAUGAACAUUUUUUCAUGUGUCUGAUGGCCAUUUGUAUGUCUUCAUUGGAGAAGUGUCU